UCCUUACCUUAGUCGUUUUAGGGUUUUUGAUGAAAGAAAAAAGAACACGCUGACACCAUAGCCUCUCUUCUUCUCGUCACUCUCCCCUCUCAAACCAAUCAUCGUUUUUUCAAUCGAUGCUUCGAUCACUCCCGUUACCGAUUAACCAGAAAUACGACAGUAGUCUUCAAUCGUUAUGUUCAAUCGACGCUUCAAUCAGUAGGCUCAAUUGAAGGCUCAAUCAGUGUUACGGAGACUUCGGAAAACUCUUCAAACCCUAUCAUUCUCCAGCUCUGCAUCCUUCAGUUUCCAAUCUAAAUCCCUCCACUCCCCCUCUCCCUCCGUCCCUCCACCUCCCGUCGGAAUGGCUUCAUCGUCAAAGCUAAAUCACUGCAUUCAGUGAUAGACAGGCAGAAUUUUACAAGAAAAACACAGAGAUAUUGAGUGUUUUAGUAGACAGUGUGUUGAUGUGCUAUUUUUGGGAUGAGCUCAAGCACAUACGACAUGCUAUUUGCAUUCCUGGUUACCCAACAAAAGCGAAAGAGGACACUGCAUGAAAUAAGUUAUGACCUCUGUCCUGUUUUUGCUACUAAAAUGGUCUAAGUUAAAGACUGAUGGAAUAUGCAUGCAGUAUACUGUUCUCGACAGAUGAGCUGACAAGUUCAAUGGAUCCAAUUCAAGGCUAUGUUGUUUUUGCUGUGUUGCGUUUUCCUAUUGUUGUUUUAUGUUUAUUGUUUGUAAUUUUUCAUUUUUAUCAUCUCUACUUGUUAAAUUUCACUUGAUUGGAAAUGUUUUCUAUGAUGUUUUUUAAUUGUGGGAAGUGUUUUUAAAUUUUAAUAGGUGGCCUAUGUAAGUUUUUAUAAUUGUUUUAUUAUCAUAUUCUUAUA